GAUUAUUCUCUUCUGCCUUCAGUGGGAACAAGAAAUCAGGAGUAGCAGAAGGCUGGCCAGGGGCAGGACUAUAUGCCCAGGUAGGAAAGCCCUGGGGCAGCGUGUGGAAAAUGAGAUUCUAGUGUCCAUUUGGCCACUGCACGACCUUUAAAAACUACUGCCUUCAUCUCUGCCUUCCCAAGAUCUCGGUCUCUUCUCAGACUACAAGAUGAGGAGACUGAGACGAGUGGGUUUAAAUAACUUAGCUCCGGUCGUCCCACACUCUCCCAUUGACAACCAGACUCUUCUACUCCCAGGUGAGAUCUCAGGUAAGUUGUUUCCUUCUUUUGGAUCAUUUGCCUCCUCUGCAAAGUAGGAGGAGCAGAUGAGAUCACUGGUCUCUCAACUUUUAAAAAUAAUUAUAUUAUCCUAUUAGUGAAAAAAACUUUGAUCUUUACCCUCUAGCAUAUGUAUAUGUGUUAUAAGUCAUACAAAGUCUGUCCAGAAAAAGUCCAGCUAUUGUUAAUAUAACAAGAACAGUUUGCAUGACAUCAAUGUAACUUGGCAGCCAAGGAGAGUGGACUGGAAUGUGCAUGUGUAAACAAUGACGACUUCACUGUACUAGUCAGUGGGGUGGUAGAUGUCAUUUAGUGAACAUGUAGACUGGGUGGCCAUUGCAUUAAAAAUGACUGAGCCAGUGGAGCAAUAAAUCUGCAUCAAAUUUUGCUUUAAGCUUGAACAUUCCUCCAUGAAAAGUAUUUGGAUGAAUCAGAAGGCUUCAGCUAUGGGCAACUUGUGUUUGGCAGCUUCAUCUGGAUAACGAACCCACUCAUGCAUUAUGUUUCAUGAAGAGUUUUUUGGCAAAACAUCAAAUCACCCAGGUGACUCACCUCCCCUAGAGCCCAGAUUUGGUGCCGUGUGACUUCUAGGUUUUCCCCAAACUAAAAUCAUCUUUGAAGGGGAAGAGAUUUUAGACCAUUGAUGAGAUUCAGGAAAAUACAAAGGGCAGCUGAUGGUGAUUGUGAGAACUGUGUGAGAUCCCAAGGUGCCUACUUUGAAGGGGACUGAGGCAUCGCUGUCUUAUAUUACAAUGUUUCUUGUAUCUUGUAUCUUCAACAAAUGUCUCUAUUUUUCAUAUUACAUGGCUUGAUACCUUCUGAACAGACUAUAUAUACCAUUGUGCCUUUAUUUAUUAAAUAAUAAACACACUUCAUAAAUUUUAUAGUGAAAAAAUUAAAAUAUAAAUCUUAAAGUAUUUUCUCUUGACCUGCAUGUAUCACGAUUCCUGUGUGCCUGUCAAGUGAUACAAUAUAUCACCAGGUGUUGAAAGACAAAUACUAUAUGAUCUCACCUUUAACAGGAAGCUAAACAAUGAAACAAACAAGCAAGCAAAAUAAAAACAAAGACACUGAAAUAGAGA